AGAAUCAACGCUGGCGGCGUGCCUAACACAUGCAAGUCGCACGAGAAAGGGUAGCAAUACCUGAGUACAGUGGCGCACGGGUGAGUAACACGUGAAUAAUCUACCUCCGAGUGGGGAAUAACUGAGAGAAAUCUUAGCUAAUACCGCAUAACACUUACGAGUCAAAGCAGCAAUGCGCUUGGAGAGGAGUUCGCGGCAGAUUAGUUAGUUGGCGGGGUAAUGGCCACCAAGACGAUGAUCUGUAUCCGGCCUGAGAGGGCGCACGGACACACUGGAACUGAAACACGGUCCAGACUCCUACGGGAGGCAGCAGUGGGGAAUUUUGCGCAAUGGGGGAAACCCUGACGCAGCAACGCCGCGUGGAGGAUGAAUAUCUUGGUAUGUAAACUCCUUUCGAUGGGGAAGAUUAUGACGGUACCCAUAGAAGAAGCCCGGCUAACUUCGUGCCAGCAGCCGCGGUAA
rnacentral:rRNA from 1 species